UCUAAGUAUAAGCAAUUAUACGGCGAAACUGCGAAUGGCUCAUUAAAUCAGUUAUCGUUUAUUUGAUAGCCCCUUACUACUUGGAUAACCGUGGUAAUUCUAGAGCUAAUACAUGCUGAAAACCCCGACUUCGGAAGGGAUGUAUUUAUUAGAUUAAAAACCAAUGCCCCUCGGNNCUCACUGGUGAUUCAUGAUAACUUCUCGAAUCGCACGGCCUUGCNNNNNCGAUGGCUCAUUCAAAUUUCUGCCCUAUCAACUUUCGACGGCUGGAUCUGGGCCCGCCAUGGUGACAACGGGUAACGGAGGGUUAGGGCUCGGNNCCGGAGAAGGAGCCUGAGAAACGGCUACUACAUCCAAGGAAGGCAGCAGGCGCGCAAAUUACCCAAUCCCGACUCGGGGAGGUAGUGACAAUAAAUACUGAUACAGGGCUCUUUUGGGUCUUGUAAUUGGAAUGAGUACAAUUUAAUUCCCUUAACGAGGAACAAUUGGAGGGCAAGUCUGGUGCCAGCAGCCGCGGUAAUUCCAGCUCCAAUAGCGUAUAUUAAAGUUGUUGCGGUUAAAAAGCUCGUAGUUGAACCUUGGGCCUGGCUGGCCGGUCCGCCUCACCGCGUGCACUGGUCCGGCCGGGUCUUUCCCUCUGGGGAGCCGCAUGCCCUUCGCUGGGCGUGUCGGGGAACCAGGACAUUUACUUUGAAAAAAUUAGAGUGUUCAAAGCAGGCUUAUGCUCGAAUACAUUAGCAUGGAAUAAUAGAAUAGGACGCGCGGUUCUAUUUUGUUGGUUUCUAGGACCGCCGUAAUGAUUAAUAGGGACAGUCGGGGGCAUCAGUAUUCAAUAGUCAGAGGUGAAAUUCUUGGAUCUAUUGAAGACUAACUACUGCGAAAGCAUUUGCCAAGGAUGUUUUCAUUAAUCAGGAACGAAAGUUAGGGGAUCGAAGACGAUCAGAUACCGUCGUAGUCUUNNCCAUAAACUAUGCCGACUAGGGAUCGGANGG
rnacentral:rRNA from 1 species